CAUCCCCAUUUACAGAUACACAAGAAGCUACAACGGAAUAUGGACUGUUUCAAGGCAGGAACUUCAUCUUUCAACUGCUCCCAAACUGCAAAAAAACAUAUUCAUAACAUCACUGUUGCUCACUUUGAAAUUGUCACUGAACUGAAAUCCAUACAACCACACUG